rnacentral:rRNA from 2 species
GGGUUGUGAGGUUAAGCGACUAAGCGUACACGGUGGAUGCCCUGGCAGUCAGAGGCGAUGAAGGGCGUGCUAAUCUGCGAUAAGCGCCGGUAAGGUGAUAUGAACCGUUAUAACCGGCGAUACCCGAAUGGGGAAACCCAGUGUGAUUCGUCACACUAUCAUUAACUGAAUCCAUAGGUUAAUGAGGCGAACCGGGGGAACUGAAACAUCUAAGUACCCCGAGGAAAAGAAAUCAACCGAGAUUCCCCCAGUAGCGGCGAGCGAACGGGGAGGAGCCCAGAGCCUGAAUCAGCAUGUGUGUUAGUGGAAGCGUCUGGAAAGGCGCGCGAUACAGGGUGACAGCCCCGUACACAAAAGCGCAUGUGCUGUGAGCUCGAUGAGUAGGGCGGGACACGUGGUAUCCUGUCUGAAUAUGGGGGGACCAUCCUCCAAGGCUAAAUACUCCUGACUGACCGAUAGUGAACCAGUACCGUGAGGGAAAGGCGAAAAGAACCCCGGCGAGGGGAGUGAAAAAGAACCUGAAACCGUGUACGUACAAGCAGUGGGAGCCCCACCACUAAGCCAGUGGUGAACUCCACAUACGCAUCCUUUGCUGAGGAUACGGUUAACGGAGCGAAAGCGACGUUCAACCGCAAAAGAAGCAGAGGGGGCUUAGUGGUGGGGUGACUGCGUACCUUUUGUAUAAUGGGUCAGCGACUUAUAUUCUGUAGCAAGGUUAACCGAAUAGGGGAGCCGGAGGGAAACCGAGUCUUAAUUGGGCGUUAAGUUGCAGGGUAUAGACCCGAAACCCGGUGAUCUAGCCAUGGGCAGGUUGAAGGUUGGGUAACACUAACUGGAGGACCGAACCGACUAAUGUUGAAAAAUUAGCGGAUGACCUGUGGCUGGGGGUGAAAGGCCAAUCAAACCGGGAGAUAGCUGGUUCUCCCCGAAAGCUAUUUAGGUAGCGCCUCGUGAAUUCAUCUCCGGGGGUAGAGCACUGUUUCGGCUAGGGGGCCAUCCCGGCUUACCAACCCGAUGCAAACUGCGAAUACCGGAGAAUGUUAUCACGGGAGACACACGGCGGGUGCUAACGUCCGUCGUGAAGAGGGAAACAACCCAGACCGCCAGCUAAGGUCCCAAAGUCAUGGUUAAGUGGGAAACGAUGUGGGAAGGCCCAGACAGCCAGGAUGUUGGCUUAGAAGCAGCCAUCAUUUAAAGAAAGCGUAAUAGCUCACUGGUCGAGUCGGCCUGCGCGGAAGAUGUAACGGGGCUAAACCAUGCACCGAAGCUGCGGCAGCGAACGUAUCACUUAAAGCGAUUCAGCGGGUUACGAUUGACGGAGCGAAGCGACGUCAAAGCGUAUACAAAGUCGAGUCGGUUUAAGGAUACGUUCGUUGGGUAGGGGAGCGUUCUGUAAGCCUGCGAAGGUGGCCUGUGAGGGUUGCUGGAGGUAUCAGAAGUGCGAAUGCUGACAUAAGUAACGAUAAAGCGGGUGAAAAGCCCGCUCGCCGGAAGACCAAGGGUUCCUGUCCAACGUUAAUCGGGGCAGGGUGAGUCGACCCCUAAGGCGAGGCCGAAAGGCGUAGUCGAUGGGAAACGGGUUAAUAUUCCCGUACUUGGUGUUACUGCGAAGGGGGGACGGAGAAGGCUAUGUUGGCCGGGCGACGGUUGUCCCGGUUUAAGCGUGUAGGUGUGUGUUCCAGGUAAAUCCGGUUCACUUUAACACUGAGGCGUGACGACGAGGCACUACGGUGCUGAAGCAACAAAUGCCCUGCUUCCAGGAAAAGCCUCUAAGCAUCAGGUAACAUCAAAUCGUACCCCAAACCGACACAGGUGGUCAGGUAGAGAAUACCAAGGCGCUUGAGAGAACUCGGGUGAAGGAACUAGGCAAAAUGGUGCCGUAACUUCGGGAGAAGGCACGCUGAUAUGUAGGUGAAGCGGUUUACCCGUGGAGCUGAAAUCAGUCGAAGAUACCAGCUGGCUGCAACUGUUUAUUAAAAACACAGCACUGUGCAAACACGAAAGUGGACGUAUACGGUGUGACGCCUGCCCGGUGCCGGAAGGUUAAUUGAUGGGGUCAGCGCAAGCGAAGCUCCUGAUCGAAGCCCCGGUAAACGGCGGCCGUAACUAUAACGGUCCUAAGGUAGCGAAAUUCCUUGUCGGGUAAGUUCCGACCUGCACGAAUGGCGUAAUGAUGGCCAGGCUGUCUCCACCCGAGACUCAGUGAAAUUGAACUCGCUGUGAAGAUGCAGUGUACCCGCGGCAAGACGGAAAGACCCCGUGAACCUUUACUAUAGCUUGACACUGAACAUUGAGCCUUGAUGUGUAGGAUAGGUGGGAGGCUUUGAAGUGUGGACGCCAGUCUGCAUGGAGCCGACCUUGAAAUACCACCCUUUAAUGUUUGAUGUUCUAACGUGGACCCGUGAUCCGGGUUGCGGACAGUGUCUGGUGGGUAGUUUGACUGGGGCGGUCUCCUCCUAAAGAGUAACGGAGGAGCACGAAGGUUGGCUAAUCCUGGUCGGACAUCAGGAGGUUAGUGCAAUGGCAUAAGCCAGCUUGACUGCGAGCGUGACGGCGCGAGCAGGUGCGAAAGCAGGUCAUAGUGAUCCGGUGGUUCUGAAUGGAAGGGCCAUCGCUCAACGGAUAAAAGGUACUCCGGGGAUAACAGGCUGAUACCGCCCAAGAGUUCAUAUCGACGGCGGUGUUUGGCACCUCGAUGUCGGCUCAUCACAUCCUGGGGCUGAAGUAGGUCCCAAGGGUAUGGCUGUUCGCCAUUUAAAGUGGUACGCGAGCUGGGUUUAGAACGUCGUGAGACAGUUCGGUCCCUAUCUGCCGUGGGCGCUGGAGAACUGAGGGGGGCUGCUCCUAGUACGAGAGGACCGGAGUGGACGCAUCACUGGUGUUCGGGUUGUCAUGCCAAUGGCACUGCCCGGUAGCUAAAUGCGGAAGAGAUAAGUGCUGAAAGCAUCUAAGCACGAAACUUGCCCCGAGAUGAGUUCUCCCUGAGACUUAGAGUCUCCUGAAGGAACGUUGAAGACGACGACGUUGAUAGGCCGGGUGUGUAAGCGCAGCGAUGCGUUGAGCUAACCGGUACUAAUGAACCGUGAGGCUUAACCUUACAACGCCGAAG